rnacentral:rRNA from 1 species
GACGAACGCUGGCGGCGUGCCUAAUACAUGCAAGUUGAGCGCUGAAGGUUGGUCCUUGUACCAACUGGAUGAGCAGCGAACGGGUGAGUAACGCGUGGGGAAUCUGCCUUUGAGCGGGGGACAACAUUUGGAAGCGAAUGCUAAUACCGCAUAAAAACUUUAAACACAAGUUUUAAGUUUGAAAGAUGCAAUUGCAUCACUCAAAGAUGAUCCCGCGUUGUAUUAGCUAGUUGGUGAGGUAAAGGCUCACCAAGGCGAUGAUACAUAGCCGACCUGAGAGGAUGAUCGGCCGCAUUGGGAGUGAGACACGGCACAAACUCCUUCGGGAGGCGGCAGGAGGGAAUCUUCGGCAAUGGGCGAAAGUCUGACCGAGCAACGCCGCGUGAGUGAAGAAGGUUUUCGGAUCGUAAAACUCUGUUGGUAGAGAAGAACGUUGGUGAGAGUGGAAAGCUCAGCAAGUGACGGUAACUACCCAGAAAGGGACGGCUAACUACGUG